rnacentral:rRNA from 1 species
GAUGAACGCUAGCUACAGGCUUAACACAUGCAAGUCGAGGGGCAGCACUAGGUAGCAAUACUGAGGUGGCGACCGGCGCACGGGUGCGUAACGCGUAUCCAACCUUCCCGAUACUCUUGGAUAGCCUUCCGAAAGGGAGAUUAAUACAAGAUGGUGUUUCACUUUCGCAUGUUAUUGAAACUAAAGAUUUAUCGGUAUCGGAUGGGGAUGCGUGACAUUAGAUAGUAGGCGGGGUAACGGCCCACCUAGUCUACGAUGUCUAGGGGUUCUGAGAGGAAGGUCCCCCACACUGGAACUGAGACACGGUCCAGACUCCUACGGGAGGCAGCAGUGAGGAAUAUUGGUCAAUGGUCGGAAGACUGAACCAGCCAAGUAGCGUGAAGGAUGAAGGUUCUAUGGAUUGUAAACUUCUUUUAUACGGGAAUAAAACCUCCCACGUGUGGAGCUUGUAUGUACCGUAUGAAUAAGCAUCGGCUAACUCCGUG